rnacentral:rRNA from 1 species
GACAGAGGGUGCAAACGUUGUUCGGAAUUACUGGGCGUAAAGCGCGUGUAGGCGGUCGUGCAAGUCGGGUGUGAAAGCCCGGGGCUCAACCCCGGAAGUGCAUUCGAUACUGCAUGGCUAGAGUACCGGAGAGGGUGGUGGAACUCUCGGUGUAGAGGUGAAAUUCGUAGAUAUCGAGAAGAACACCGGUGGCGAAGGCGGCCACCUGGACGGAUACUGACGCUGAGGCACGAAAGUGUGGGGAUCAAACAGG